AUGACAACUCUGGAAGAAGGUAGCCUAUGUUGGAUGACAGAAUUCAAAGAAUGGAGGGAAGGAGGAAGGAAAGGAGAGAGGGAAGAAGAGAGGAAGGGAAGGGAAGAGGAAAGGAGGAAUGGAAGGAAAGAAGGGAAGGAAGGAAAUGGAGGGAGGGAAGAAGAAAGAAAGGAAGGAAAAGGAGAGAGAGAGGGAGGAGGAAGGAAGAAAGGAAGGAGAGAGAAAGAAAGAAAUGAAGGAAGAAGAAAGAUUUAUUAAACAUAUAUGUGCCUGGUGCUAGCAUAAUAAUGCCAUAACAAGAACAAAUAUUAUUUCAUCUGAUUGCCACAACAGUUACCCCAUUUUACCGUUGAGUAAAUUGAGACAGACAGAGGUUAUGUCACUUGCUUAAGGUCACACUUUAUGACCCAUAAAGUGCUUUCCCCACAAUGGCUUUAUGAUGUAAGUUGAACAAUGCUGGCUUCUCUGCUGUUUAGGAUGUUCUGACCUAAAGAUGUCCACUAGGUGGUGGAGUAGAGAGAAUGCUCCUGAAUCAGGAAGACAUCAUACACUCAAAUCCAGCCUCAGACCUUUCCUAGCUGUGUGACCCUAGCCAAGUCACUUCACCUUGAUUAUGUCAGUUUCCUCAUCUGUUAAAAAAAAAAGAGUUGGUGAAGGAAAUGGCAAACCACUUGCAAAGAAAACUCCAAAUGGGGUCUUGAAGAGUCAAAAACAAUUAAACAACCACAAGCCAGAGGCAGCAACAUGGCUUAAUCAGCUCUUUCACUUUUAGUCCAGCAUGGAGAAUGUUCUUUGUCCUUGCCUGAACACACAGAAGCCUCUAGCUUCUCCACUUUAUGUGCUAUAUGCCACUUUCAUAGGUCUCUGCUAUUUUCCUCUCUAUCAUUCCUAGAUACCUUCUUACUCUUUCAAAACCUUUUAAAUAUCUUUUUUCUUUAAAAACAAACAAAAAAAUCUUACCUUCCAUCUUAGAAUCAAUGCUAUGAACUCAUUCCAAGGCAGAGGAGUGAUAAGGGCUAGACAAUGGAGGGCGUUAAGUAACUUGCCAGGCUCACACAGAUAGGAAUGUCUGAGGUCAGAUUUGAACCCAGUAUCUCCUGUCUUCUGGGGUCUGUGAACUUUUUUUUAAUUUUUUUAUUUUAUUAUUAUUUUUUUUAAUUAAAACCCUUACCUUCCGUCUUGGAGUCAAUACUGUGUAUUGGCUCCAAGGCAGAAGAGUAGUAAGGGCUAGGCAAUGGGGGUCAAGUGACUUGCCCAG
rnacentral:lncRNA from 1 species